ensembl:lncRNA
CAAGGCUCCCGAGCGGGGCUGCGCUCCUCACCGCUGCCCCCGCCCCCAAUAGCGGCCGCCGGCCGGCUGCAGCCCCCUUAAGAACGCCGGAACAUCCGUCAUAGUCGCGUCACAGUCCCGCCCUCCGCCCGACCUUGGUAAUGAGCCAGCGGUCCCGCCUCCUCAUGAAUAAUGCACGACCGCGAGGGAGGGGAUGCGCGCGUACCGCCCAACGCCGCGCACUGAAGGUGGGCGCUACCAUUUAAAGGGCGCGGGGAGAGGUGACGGCCUUUAAGCGACGCCCCGAAGAUCCGCUGGCCUUUUGCUGGCCUUCGACGACGCAGCCAUCCUGAAGCGGAAAACAACCGAAAUGGAACCAUUUUAUUGUGUUCGCGGCAGCUGGUGCGACCGGCUCUUCCUUCCGCGGAGGGAGGUGUGGGGUCUGAGCCGUGCUUUCUUUCACCGCCCCGUGCCGCACCGGCCGGCAGGCGGGGCGCCCCCGCCCCUCGUUUGCAUUGACGCAGGCGGGCGGGCCGCGCCGUGGCGGCACGAGUUGGGGGGGAAUGUCGAGGUUGGGCUGGGCCCGUGGCUGUGUGCUGUGUGCAACCCAUCCCCACCGUGCCCACUGACCGCCUCCCUCAGUGCCGCACCUCUACGUUUCUUGGGCACUGACUCUGCCAUCUCCCUGGGCAGCCUGUUGCAAGGCAUCACUGCUCUUUUUGAGAAGAAACUUUUCCUUACAUACAUUCUGAACCUCCUCUACAAAACCAGUUCCCUCAGCCGCUCCUCUCAAGACCUGUACUCCAGACCCUUUGCCAGCUCUGCUGCCCUUCUUUGGACAUGUUCUAGGACCUCUUUGAGUCAUGCAGCCCAUCUUCCACGCCCUCCACUGACCCAAGGAAAGCCCAGGCUAAGGCAGGCCUGAGGAUAGGCCUGCAUGUGGAUAGCCCUUGGUGGUAUUUCCUGGACAGGCAAUGCUAAACAUGGGUUUUUACCCUUUUUUAUGGUUCUGGAAGCAUGGCUUUUAGCAACAGUGUUGAACACAAGUAAGUAGUUCAGCAGCUAUAGGUGUAAUGCAGAUCUAGAUAUCCUUGAACAAAAUAAAGGACCUCUGCUUGUUGGCUGGAAAAGCUUUAACUCAGUGGUGACAGUGGUGCACAUCUGCAGAGUGAGUGAUAGCACACUUGAGAAGUGUCAGUGUAUGCCUGGCCUAUCCUACUUCUCCAUAGGCAUCCAUUAGUGGCCCCUGUCAGAAGCUGUGUGGCUACUUUCCAUUUGCCCAAUGGAUGUUUGGCCUGAACCAGUGCUUUAAUCAUUAAAUCUAUGUGUUUAUUAAAUGUGUAUAAACUGUAAGGGAAAAAUGUUUAGUUCCACGUGUCUACAGUCUUCUUUGGUGCGAUCGUGUUCCUGUAUAUAGGAGUGAGCCUGCAUGGGUGUGUAUAUUUAGAUAUUUAUGCCACUUUGCAGGCUUGCCAUGCAAAUACAUGUGCAGCGUAGAAGACUAAUUGCUACUUUUUUCUUAUAUUUCAGUUAAUAUUUCAGAAUUGUUCAUUAUAUUGGCAUCCAUUCUGUUUCAGGAGCUCUGCAGCCAUCUUACAAGUAGCAAAAAACAGGGUACAGAUCAAGGCCCUGUUGAUGAUUGCAUGCCGAGUGAAUGCUGCCAGCCGAGUGAUGGUUGCUCACUGAAUAGCGAGUUGCUUCAUGGCACAGUCCUCAUAAACAUGGCUUCAGAGAGCUGUAGAACUGGUAGGAUCCAGCUUCCCUUUGCCUUCGUGUCACAUGCCUGAUGUUUGGUUAUGUGCAAGCCUGAACAGAAGCUGUCCCGCACCUGGGGCAUUUGCUGGCAUCUAACAAUGGUGAAGUAGUGCUGCACUGUUCUCCCCGAUGGCCAGCUGCCUGUUGCUAGCAAGUAAGGCAGGAACUUCUUUGACUGUAGUGUUUGUCCCCUUGCUUGAGUCCCAAUUCUUGCUGUUGUGGAGUUCACAAGUUCUUUUAAAUCAGUUGGAAGACAAGAGCACUCACAUCCUCUGUGACAGCUUAUCUCUGCCAUGGUAGCUAUCUGCCCCAGUUAUACACACUUAUUAAAACAACUUUCAUAGAGGAAAUCUCUUCUAUUUUUAACUGUGUAUAAACUAAGCAUCCACUCUGAAUUAGUUGCCUAAUCUGCAAACAAGAGACAGGUGCUACCAAAGUGAUUCAUCUUUUCCUAAUACAGGUACAUUUAGAGAGAGAAACCUCAUCUCUCCUUGCUGAUUUUGAGGAAAGCUCAUGUCUGUAUCCUGUCCAGGAGCUCUUCGGUGCUCAUCGGUCUUGUGGUACAAAUAGGCUUCUUGACUCUGACACAAGCAAGAAUGGCCUAACUGAGUCAAACCACUCAUCCUUCCAGCUGUGCAUCUGGUUUCUCCUGCCUCUGAGAGCUAUGAGCUCUUAGCUCCUGUUUGCUGUGGCCAUAAAUUCUAGCUUCUUCAUCAAAUCAUUUCCUUUCAAGAAGUCAUGGGCCCAGUCCUUGGAGUUUUCUUUUUCCUCUCCACUUCUCAGUUUCUCCAUUUGGCCAUGUGGCCUUCACACUCCAGUGCAUUAUUUUUUAGUUCUUCCCUGUAACCCUGCUUUCCUUUUUCUUAGCUGCCCCUUUUUGGAGACCUUUUUUGGGCUGGGCAGUAGGAAAGACUGUCUGAAAACACAUGCCUAAAUGGAUGUGUAGGAAGCUUGACAUGCUUAGCCUCUUCUUUCAGCUACCUCAACUGUUUGCAGCUUGGAGGUCUGCUAGAUUUGCCUUUCCAGAACUUAGGUGAUAGUGGGAUGCUUGGGCUCUUCAUUCUGAUUUCAGAGCAGAACUCCUGUCCUGGAUGAGCUGAGGGAGCUAGAAGGAGUAAUGCAACUCCAGUAAGUGGCUGAGAGGAUACAGCAAACACCAGGAGGGGUGGGUAUCUGGCCAUGUGCAAUAUUACUGCAUGUAACACGUGCAUUGAACAAUGUGGCAAAACAAACUGUCGAACAGGUAAAACCAUAUAUACCUAAGUUAUGAUUCUGGCAGCCAUUAAUCAUCCUGCUUCUGUCUAUUCACUGUAACAAACAUGCCAGAUGUCCACUUCAUUUGGGAGGCCUGUGCGGAACUGAGGCUAACAGCUCUCCAGGGUUUGUCAGCGCAGUAAAGACAGUGGCCAUCUGAGUUCAUCUUGCUGUGUUCUGCAUCAUCCACUGUGCAUGAAAUUCUGCGUGCCAAGAUAAACAAGCAAUGCUAGAGAAGAGAAAGCAUAAAGACAAAUCACAAUGAGCUUUAUUAAGACAAAUCUGGUAAGCUGUAAGGAUUCCAAAGCACCUCUUCUGGCUGGAACUUAGGUGGCACGAAAGCACUCAUCUAGGCAGUACUUCUGAAUUGUACCCCUGAGUGGUUAUUGCCUCCUCUGGAAAUUGCUGUGCACAGCUUAAGUUCUUUCCUUUUCAUAAGACCAGGAGAAUAACACCUGCUAUUGGCCAGUGUUAGAGAGAUGGUACUAUUGUGUGAGACAGAAUUUUGGACCAUCAUUCUGUUUUUCUGCUUGAACAAAAAAAAACCUCUAAACUUUUAGUAGUUAUAAAAGCUGGAAGGGAUUGUGCUGAAAUGCUCUCUUCCUUGGAGUAGUCUGUGGGUUUAACUUCUUUAAAAAUGCAGGUUCUUGGUGUAGAAUCCGUACCUUUUUCUAAUCCGAUACCACGAAGGAUGUGUUAUAAUUGUGGGGAAUUUGUGAUCAGUCAUGAAAUGGAUAACAAUCAAACUAUGAUACGUAGACUUUUAUGUCUUUGCAGAGCUACUUCAGUGCUUCCUCAUUUUGUAAAUUACCACGAACACCAGAAUACUGGGAACCUAGCACAUAAAAAAGGAAAUAACUGUGCUUCCAGAAUCUGUUGUUCCCCUCCCAAUAGUUUUUUUGGAAGGUCCCAGUGGCUGUGAUUUUGAGUAUGGGCUGCAAAUAACAUGCUAAGCUAAAAAUUAUCUUUGCUUUCAUUCCAAUGCAAAAAGCUGCUUCUCUGGCUUCUUUUCUUUUCUUUUCUUUUCUUUUCUUUUCUUUUCUUUUCUUUUCUUUUCUUUUCUUUUCUUUUCUUUUCUUCUCUUCUCUUCUCUUCUCUUCUCUUCUCUUCUCUUCUCUUCUCUUCUCUUCUCUUCUCUUCUCUUCUCUUCUCUUCUCUUCUCUUCUCUUCUCUUCUCUUCUCUUCUCUUCUCUUCUCUUCUCUUUUCUUUUCUUUUUUUCCUUAUUGCAUGUUACAGUUAAAAGUAAGCAUAGCUACAGGUAGUUAGGACUAACUUCAAAAAGCCUUUUUGUUGUGGAGUGGCUCGGCACAGUGAGUAUCUGUGGCUGCUUGUAAUGCAACAAACUCUUCUUUCCAGAGCCCACAACAUUUAUAGGUCUUUCACCACUUACAGUGAUUUACUGCUCCAUUUGACCCAUCUUCCAAGGCUCUGCAGCUACAAGAAAACAUUUUUUUUCUCUUGGCAAUUUUACCUUCUCUCUUUUCCCAUCUUCUCUCUGGUUUGUUCCUGGGCACCUUUUACCAAGCUCUGUAUUUCGGUGGCUCUGCCUGUCCUGCCCUGUUCUCAGGGGCUCUGCUGGCAGGUCUGUCUCAAUGUCACCUGUAGUUGGGCUGUUGGGAGAAGCACUGUCUCCUGUCUGUGGUCUGUGGCAUGUGUCUGCUUCAUACAUCAGCCUAAGCUUUGAAAUGAGCCUGCAUAUGCAUUCCAGGAACAGCACAUUGUUCUAACUGGUAACAAAAAUACAUGACUAACGUGCUUCUGAUAGAGCCGCUUCCUCUUAACCUUAAAGUUGAUUUUUUGUUAAUGACUUCUUCCUCCCAUGGAAACGUGGAAAACAGUCUGGGACUGCAGGUUGUUAUUCAGUAAGAAAAACACAUGAUGAAGUUUGACAUUUCACAGGAAAAAGAUGUCUAAAGAUUUAUAUCAAUGGGUUUUAUUUACUGUUUUUCUGUUCUUGAUUUUUUUAAACCCCGAAAACAAAACUCAUGCAUUGCUAUAAAGGAGGUGGGCAAGUCUUUUUCAGCAGUGAGCAGUCUGUUGAGUCACAGUAACGUACGUUCUUUCCCCAUGCUUUUUUUCUUUAAAAGAAAGAAAUUGUUAAUCAUCUACAUGUAAAAAAUAUGGAAAAUAAACCAUUGUUUGAUCACCGUAUGUCAGAAUAAAAUUAAAAGCAGAGAGAAAACAUAACAUGAGGGCUUGACAUGGUUCGCUUUGUUCUGUUGUUCCCGUGCCCACGUGCCCAUGUUGUGUUCAUUUUUUAAAGCUAAAAAAUCAUAAAAUUCAUAGGAGAUGGGCAGCGUUUGUUCCUUAUUCAAAGUCCUUCUUCCACCACAAGGCCUCCACUGCCUGCUAAACUUGCAGGAUAUGGAUUCUGGUCACAGGAAUGCAAACCAGUGAUUUACUCUGCUUUUUCUUCUUUUUGCCUGGGGUUUAACCAGUACAUUAGACUAAUAUUUUCUUGCUUGCUAGUGGCAGUUUCUGUUUCUUUUUUUCUUUCUUUCUUUUUUUUUUUUUUUUUGGUAGUGGAAGUCAUUAGAGUUUCUCCCAAGAGAAUCACUGCCAAAGUAAACAAACAUCUUCAUGAAAGGAAAAUAAUGUCUGAGGAGCAUUCAGAAUUCCAUGUUUUACAGAAGAGUAUUUAUGGCAACCAACUAGUGAAUUAAAGUGAAAGAAAUCCCAUUACUAGUUUGCUGCUUCUGCUGUGCUAAUCGAAAGUGGCAAUUUCUGCUCGCUUCUCUGCGCUACAGUGCAGGGUCUCAGUAUAAGCUGUAAUUUAAAAUGAAGGAAAUUAUGAGAUGAAACUCUUUUUAGAAGCAGUGUUAUGUUGGGUUUGCUUUUAUUUUUCUUAAUUGUUGGUAAUUGUAUAGAGCUUCUGCAUGUAAAACUCAGGGGAACUGCUAUUGUCUCCAAAAUGUUCUGCGUGUGGUUGGCAAGAACAACAAGCACAGAAGAAAGUUCAGCUAAAAAAUUCAUAAAAGCUGCCUGGUGGAAUGCAUUGCAAUCAGCUGUACACCUUGGUGCUCUUAUCCCUCUGAACUGAUCAUUUUUAGCUGAGAUGAAACAUUCUGAGGAGCAGGAGCCUGGCAGAUUUGCGGCGUAGAUUGUUUGAAGGUUUAAACACUGUGACUAUCUCAUCUUACUGCAAGUCUGUAGAUAGAACAUAAGCUCAAGUUGCUGAAAAGUGAUAGAAUGGCUCUGUGUGCACAGCCUACAAAACUGUGAAGGGCUUAUUUUCUGUGUGCUUUCUGCGUUCCCUCCAGGAGAGCAGUAAUUCCCCAGUGGAGCAAGCACACUUUGCAUUUGUUGAGGAUGAGACUGUCUCUAGUCCUUUGUUUGGGCAGCGGCUUUCACAAAGGGGACCAGUACUCACUGGGAACUUGCCAGCACCAUCAUAUGUUUCAUGACAAAUGCUAAGUGUUCAGAAAGUUGGCACUACAAAAUAGAGAUACUGUCAAUCUCUGUUUAAUUCUCAAAAUGGCUUGUAGGAUUUUAAAGCUUGUGUUGUUGCUGGUGCACUCACCCAUCAGAUAGCAUUUUUAACAGCCCUUCUAAUAUGGCCGGUUAAUUUGGUUAUAUUACUAGGAUGUAAAACAAAAUGAUUCCUAGGAUAGAGAUUGCUAGAUUGCUAAGAUUUUACUGCCGUUUUUUUCCUAUCUGCUGCGUGCUGAAGAACAGUGUGUCCAGCCACAUGUAUUGCUGUAGUCAGACCAUGGUAUUUUCUCAUCUUCUUUCCCAUGUACAGCUCAGACACAGCUGCCGCUAUUUACCAAACACAAAGGUGUUUUUCACAGCUCAGAGGGUAUGUUUGGGUUCUGCUGUAAGGAACGCGUGAUACAUCUCUAUUAAUUGCAUGAAUGUUCAGUGUAUGUUUAUGUACCUGGAUACUGUGGUGUUCUCUUUGGAAUUUUAGGGAGCGAGCUCAUAGAUCUUUGGAUACGUCUCCAGAGACAUGAUGAUUCCAGCGUCAGAAUAAUCUGCUCCAUAACGUGACCACAUUUAGGAGACCAGCUCCUGGGAGGAGACCCAAGGAGACAUCUUGAAAUUUCUGAGCAGAGAGGCUUUGGCACAGAGUUGGUGUACGCCGGAUGGCAUCCAGUUGGUAGCCUGCAUUGCUGGUGCAGCAGGAGGAAGCAAGCCUCUGACAAGAGCUAGAUAUGUCACCCUGCAGGACUGCACGGACAGCUUAAAUGGAGUGUAUGUUUGCACCUAAGCAGACUGUUAAGGUCUGAUGAAAGGAUGCGUUUUUCAUUGCUAUUUGUUGUAUGUAAGAGAAAUUGGCAUCUGCACAUGUGUCUAACAACUCAGAAGUGUGGUCUAUAUGCAAGCAUAAGUGAAGUGCAAUAUAACAAAUGUAAUGAAAAGCAAGAUGAGAGAUCAGUUGGGUGCACGGCUGGAUGAAGAAGAACACCGGACAGAUGUUUGCAAAGAGGUCUCAACAAGGAGUCCAAGAUCCUUCCUGGAGUGAUUAUUUAUAAUUUAUCACAGUGUUUGUGCAAUUAGGGUGUUUUUCCCCCCACGUGUAUUCCUGUGUGUCUAUCGAUAAUAAAUGAUGCGUGGUUUUAUGUUGCUGAAUCACUCAGCAUUCAGUAUGACGAUGCCUUUUGAAGUAUUGACUGUUCUAAGCGAUUUCCAUCAUCAGCAAACUUAGCUGCCUCGUUAUUAAUCCCCUCUUCCAGAUCGUUUGUGAAUGUAGUGAAGAGAACAAGUUCAAGUGCAGAUCCCUGAUCUCUUCUCUCCCAUGGUGAAAACAAUUUAUUACUACGCUUCAACAAAUCAUUAAUCUACUAAAGAAUUUCCAUCCUUAUGAUAACUCAGUUUCUUUAAGAGCUUUUAGAGAGAGAGAUGUUGUCAAAACACUUUGACUUCUGGAAAUCCAAGAGCAUUACAGCAAUCCGCAUUCACCACCAUGCUGACUGCUUUCAGGAACUGUACCAUCGUCCAUUUCAUCAGCCCACAGCAGGCUGUAAACCCUACAUUUGGUCAGGUUUCUUCUUCCGCAGAUGUGACGUUAUUUGUGUACUAAAAAUAGUGGCGAGUGCUUUCAUUACUUGUACAAAGGCUUCUAGCAGUUAGUGACAGUUUCUAAGUGAACUUAUUGCUAUGCUGCCAGAAACUCCAGAGCGAGGUACAGAUUUCCAUUGACCCCGAAUGCAGCAUGGUUUCUUUGUGAUAGAAGUCUUCUAUUUAUUUUCCAUAAAUGACAUAUCCCUGAAGCAACGGUGAGGGAAUGAAAGUUGCAUUUUAUCACUGUAACAUUUGCAGAAAAGUGAACUGCUAAACUCCCUAUUCAUAAUGAAACUUCGACUGGCCGCGAGUUCUUAAAAAGCUUACCUGCAGGUGCACAGCUUUUUUUUUUUUCCCCCUUAAAAAUUUAUAUCUGAGCCUUAUGAACUUCUGAUUAAACUUUUAAAAUAAAUUAAGGGUGAGAGGAUUAGACAGGGAAUUGGAAAUGAACUGUGGUAUCUUUUGCCUCUAGCUCAGCAUUUUGAAGGCAGCCCAAAUGAGAUGUGACAAAGUGCAGUGCUCUCGUUUCUUUCUGCUGACCUACGUGCAAGUGGAGUUUGGUCUCUGCCAAGUUCUUUGUGUGAACAGCCACGUCACCGUCACUGCUAGUCUAAUUAGCAGUAAUUAGACCUUUGUUGGAAUUUAAAAUAAAUAGGCCAUGAUUUGGAUAUCACAGUGACUAAAUUAUCCACUUAGAUGAUCCCCUCUGUGGGUGAACAGCCUGCUGCUCCCAGCCCUCCCUUUUCCACAGAGUGACAGCAGUUACAAAGAUCUGAUUUAAAUGACGAAUACGUCCAGCUUGUGUUUUGCAGAAUGCCGUGUCCUGUUUGAAAUAGAAACUGUAAAAUUCUGCAGGACAGUCCCUGAGUGAGACUAAUAAAGCCACGUUUUAAUCCGUUAAGGGCUGUAGUAGCUAUUAUUUCCUUCCUGCCCUCGAUGGAGGUGUGAAGACUUUCAGAGGAAGCACCCACCAGCAGACGUUCAGAGGUUCCUACUGCUUCAGCCCCUAUCUGAACUUCCUAUUGCUCCUUCUCAGGAGAAAUUAUUUCAUUAGCCUGGGUCAGCCCUUUCUGAACAUGUCUGUUUCUUACCUUAUUUCUGCUGCCUGUCAUGCUGUCCUGCUGCCAGAGAGUAUUUUCAGACCCGUAGGUCUGACUCCCUAGGCGUUUCUCCUGGACUUUGUACACCACUUCUUGUCCUAGGAGAGGAAAGGAAAGUGUGCAUUUCCAGUGGAGCACUGCAUGCAGCUUUUUUUCUGCACAUGUGCCCUCUAUGGAUUCUUGUUGGAUUUCCUGACCCUUUUCUGUUUGAUUGACUCUGAAAGCCCAGCUGAUUCUUCUGUUCUCCCCAAAGCACCUAUGGGAACUUCUGUAACUUGGUUGCUUCUAUCCGAAGUUUUUCUUUGCUUCUUUGAGAAAAGAGAAAGUCGUAGCACCUGAAAGUGUGCCAAUUCCCCAAUCACACUGGUUGCCAGUCAUUGGCUGGGUCAAUAGAGACUGGGGUGGGAAAGCCUGGUCCUGCUGCAGGUCAGAGCAGGGCACAUGAGACUUCUGAUCAGAGUGUGGUGGCAUAGGAAUCCGUCAGUGCUCUUCUGGGGUGGUGGUCAUUGUCCUGACAGCCUCUGCAUUAUGAUAAUGGGAAAAAAAAAUGUUAAUGUUUGUUUCACUGAUGUAUUUUAGAAUGAAUUACUCUUGGCAUUAGAGCCGACUGCAUGCAAUGGACAACUGCACUGCUUUAAAAAUCCUGUGCAUUAUGCCAGCAGUGUAGGGGUCUCCAAUCUUCAAACACAGACACAUGGUUUCAGAGAACACAAACACUACGUGUUGAUCUGGAAGUAAAGAGAAGCAGUGUGAAUCUGCUUUUCCCAUAUUUUCAGCCAAUUGCUGGCUAUUUAAAUCUUUAAUCUAAACAGAUAUUUGGAUUUAGUUUCUGAAGAGCAAAAGCCUGUCAGCUAUUUCAGUGAGGGCAACAACUUAAACAGUCAAUAUAUCAUUCCUGAAACAAGCAUAAUUUCAGCAAUCAAGUAGGAGAUAUUUCUUGUAGGUCCGCAAUUCCUUGUAGAGAGAGUUCAUAUCAUAAUGAUGUGCUCUGUGGAGGUGACUCAUUUGCACAUUUUGGAGUUCAGACAAAGUCUCUGUGUUAGCUCUCUUUCCUCUCCUACCUUCCACGUGUUCUCCUGGAUUCAUAACAGAAUGAUUCUUUCUGUUACAUAAGACUGAAAUGGCUUCUCAUUUUCACUUUCUUUAUGCAUAAGAGGCUUAUAAAUGUAUUGAGUUAUGGCUGAGGAAACUAGAAUACAUGCUACCUGAAAACCAUCAUAAAUUGUUCCAAAAUGAUCUUGAUUAAUUAAAAAAAAUUGGUUUUGCUUUGUGCUAGUCCAACUAUUUUGACAACUACUUGUGCUGUAGUGCACAAGUGGGGAUAUAAUCGCACAGGGCUGAAGAUGUCUAAUAAUGAAGUAGUGACACCCAGUUCUGUAUAUGCCAGCAUGGCUACGUGAAUGCAAUACACAAAGCCAGAUGUACCAUUUUAACUGCACAAGGAUAUAUUCAAGUAUGUUUAAAAUGGACAGCGUGACAUUUAUGUGUAUGUGUGUAGGUCUCACUGAAAGUAGUGCCUCCUAUUUAUUUCCAUGGAAGCAACAACAGAUACAAAGAGCUCAAUAACACUAUUUGAUAGAGCAAGCCCUCAGCUACAGAACUGUUUUU